GACGAACCGUGCGAACGUUGUUCGGAAUCACUGGGCUUAAAGGGCGCGUAGGCGGGCUGCCAAGUCUGUGGUGAAAUCCUCCGGCUCAACCGGAGAACGGCCGUGGAUACUGGCGGUCUCGAGGGAGGUAGGGGCAUGCGGAACUGUGCGUGGAGCGGUGAAAUGCGUUGAUAUGCACAGGAACUCCGGUGGCGAAGGCGGCAUGCUGGACCUCUUCUGACGCUGAGGCGCGAAAGCUAGGGGAGCGAACAGG
rnacentral:rRNA from 1 species